UAACACCACAAUUUGUGGCUCUUAGG
rnacentral:piRNA from 1 species